AUCAUUCCAAAGAGCCUCUCACAUAGCUCAAAGCCCAACAAAUUAGCAAAAGAACAAAUAUAAGUUACUAAACAGCAAAAUCAUAUAAACCCUAUAAGACAACAAUAUGGAAUAUUGGAAUCAUAAUUUUGCAAGCAAACAAAAAUGAACCAACAUAAAUUAUAAUUAAGAAAAGGCUACGCAUAGAAUCACAAUAUUCAAUUAAUGCACUGACUAUAUGUACCAAAAUAAUGCAUUCUAUGCUGAAUAUAAAAACAUCAUUUAUACUUAAGAAACUCAACCCAACUAAGGAAACACCACAGCAACGAGAGAAUACACAAAACACCCAGCUGAAAAAGAACACCAUAAUUAUACUUCUGUUGUUCUAGCACUAACAACACUGAUCAAAACCACAACAAACUGAAUUGACCGAGAAGUAACACCAAAAAAUGACACCUAAAAAGGUUGUACCCUUGGGCAGAAACCAAAAAUGAACCAUACUUCAUGACAAUAAAAACAAGCCAAACUGCCAUCAGACCCAGAACUAAUAUAUAAAAAAAA
rnacentral:misc_RNA from 1 species